GUGGAUGCAAUGAAUAUUGGUUGCAUUUGUUAGCUAUACAAUGCAGCCCUAGGCAGCCACAUAUAUUAACAAAAUGGAUCCUGCCGACAGCCUCUGUCCAGUUACCAGAUUUCUGUGCGAUGGUUCCAUACAUA
ensembl:scaRNA small Cajal body-specific RNA 14